GUUAUUACUUGAGGGAUACACACCCCACUUCCUCACCCCUGUCCCAAAGGUGGGACAACUCUGUGCCCUGUUGUAUGCUCUCUCCCAGAGUGCUCAAUGUGACAUCCCCAGUUGCCCACAGUGUGUCCCCAUUCAUCCCACCUCCUCUAUUGGUGGCUCCCCUUCCUGGCCUCACUUUCCCAUUCCUGUAGUGGGACUUCCUGGGACCACCUCUCAAAUAGACUACUUACACUCAAAUUCUCGUUUCAGGAUCCUCUUCUAGGGGAUGCCAACCCAAGAGGAAUCAGUCAAAACCAGAUGCUCUGAUACGCUGCCAUCCAGACAUUCUCCUUUUAGCAUCAGGCAAAUUGGAAUCACUACUCUUUGGAGCAUGAGUCCAUUCUGGGUCUACUUGUCCAGAUGCAGAUCUCCAGAAAUUACAGAAAAGACGUAUAACACAUCCAUUAUGCCUCUGCAAAACUGCAUGUGUUACUUUUUAUGGACCUACAAUUACGAGGAAUGCAUGAAAGCCAGCAGGGGGAUGAAAUCAGAGAGAAAGUGGAGUUCACGUUCAGCCAUGUAUCAUCGCUCCUCCCCGAUGAGAGGUUCAAGGACGUGUCUGCACUUGGUUCUGUUUCAUCCAGAGAAAAUAGAAACACAGACCGAGGAAGGCUUUGCUCAAAGUGGAGGUGAGGUCUCUGAGCGUGAAGAGCUGGGAAGGGAGAGGGAAGGGAAGGAAGUGGCUGGGAUGAGAAGAAAGAGGGAUGUGGAAAGAAUGAGGUGGAGAGAGACAGGGAAAAAGACAUGGCUGGAAGGUGGUGGAAAGGGUGGAAGAAUGGGAGGCAAGUAAAAGGGUGGCAGCCAUGGCUCCCCCCAGAUUCCAUGGGUGCCACCUCCAAGUAAGUGCUGUUCUUCUACAUCCAGAAGAGUUGUGGUCAUCUGCCAUCUCCAACUCAGGCAGUAGGUGGAACUCUGGUUGUGCCACUGAUUAAUUGGACCCUAGUGAAGAGUGCUUUGAUCCUUGCCAGCCGCAUAUGAUAACUCGAUGCUGGGAGACAAAAUAGAAGGAGACAUAUGGGAGCACCCAGAUUUUUAGGGAAAGGGCUGAAAUAAACCCAGGCUACAGUCGUCCAUCACUGCUGGUGCCUUUAUGAACCCAGAGGAUGGCAGUUCUACAUGGACUAAGCAAAUGGAUGGCUGACUUCUAUCUUCUGGUUUCAGUUAUUUAUGAUUCCUUUGGAAAUCUGCUUCUCUUGGCAUUUGAUUCAUUUAUGGCUGAAAAAUAGUUUGCCAGAAAUGAUUAGCCUCAGUAGCCCUGUUUGUCUCUUUAGCAUGAACUUACUUCUGGCUACUGAUUCCAUACAUCUUCCCCUGAUCUGCAGCAAUAUCCAUCUGGUCUACCUGGUCCAUCAAGGGCUCUGUUACUGUUC
rnacentral:lncRNA from 9 species